rnacentral:rRNA from 1 species
UGGGGAAUAUUGCACAAUGGGGGAAACCCUGAUGCAGCGACGCCGCGUGAAGGAAGAAGUAUCUCGGUAUGUAAACUUCUAUCAGCAGGGAAGAUAGUGACGGUACCUGACUAAGAAGCCCCGGCUAACUACGUGCCAGCAGCCGCGGUAAUACGUAGGGGGCAAGCGUUAUCCGGAUUUACUGGGUGUAAAGGGAGCGUAGACGGUGUGGCAAGUCUGAAGUGAAAGGCAUGGGCUCAACCUGUGAAUUGCAUUGGAAACUGUCAAACUUGAGUGCCGGAGGGGUAAGCGGAAUUCCUAGUGUAGCGGUGAAAUGCGUAGAUAUUAGGAGGAACACCAGUGGCGAAGGCGGCUUACUGGACGGUAACUGACGUUGAGGCUCGAAAGCGUGGGGAGCAAACAGG